rnacentral:rRNA from 1 species
CACGUAGGGCGCAAGCGUUGUCCGGAAUUAUUGGGCGUAAAGAGCUCGUAGGUGGUUUGCUGCGUCCGCUGUGAAAACCCAAGGCUUAACCUUGGGCUUGCAGUGGAUACGGGCAGACUAGAGGUAGGUAGGGGAGAAUGGAAUUCCUGGUGUAGCGGUGAAAUGCGCAGAUAUCAGGAGGAACACCGGUGGCGAAGGCGGGUCUCUGGGCCAAAACUGACGCUGAGGAGCGAAAGCGUGGGGAGCGAACAGG